UUCCUUAACAAGGACUUGGACAAAUCAGGAAGUCUGUUGCCACUGAUGUUUGGGACCAAAGAAGGCCUUCAGUGUCUUCCUCGAUCCAGUUUUCACAAGGAUUUGAAAAAAGGCAAAAUGAAUGUUCAUCCAUUCUGAUAGCAAACCAUUCACCUGUUCGACAGAGUGGAAUAACGGUUCCUUCCAGGUCAGGUGCCACAAGUGGAGUUUUCACCUGGACUCAAGAACACCUCAAAAGCUCCUGCCCAUUCCAACUACUCAAACUUCCCCCAGAAGCCACUCCAGGAAGAACAGGGCUCUUUGCUAUGAUCAAGACAACUGAAGCAGCUAUUAGGAGCUUGUCACAACAGUCCAACAGGGCAGUCUCUGAUAAAAUUCUGUGCAAAGUGACUAGCUAUUAGGAAUAAAGCAAAAUGCCUC